rnacentral:rRNA from 1 species
UACGUAGGGUGCAAGCGUUGUCCGGAAUUAUUGGGCGUAAAGAGCUCGUAGGCGGUUUGUUGCGUCGGCUGUGAAAUCCCGAGGCUCAACCUCGGGUCUGCAGUCGAUACGAGCAAACUAGAGUGUUGCAGGGGAGACUGGAAUUCCUGGUGUAGCGGUGAAAUGCGCAGAUAUCAGGAGGAACACCGGUGGCGAAGGCGGGUCUCUGGGCAACAACUGACGCUGAGGAGCGAAAGCGUGGGGAGCGAACCGG